CAGCUGCUAUUUUACUGGUGUGAAGUGCUUUGAAAAAGGAAAGCAAAAAUGCAGCUUUGAAUAAACACGUCUUAUGCUGGGAUGAGCAAAUAAAUUCUCCCUGAGAUGACUUGCCUGGAGGGACUGGCGACCGUUGCUUAGUUUAGGCUGUGCGCAGCAAUGAUGUCAUCUUUAGUUGCCGACUCUGCGCAGUUAGCUGAAGUGAAUGUGCAGACCGGAUGAAAAGAUUGCCUGUCCGGAUCCCCGACAUCAUGCUCAAGCUGAAGACAUCUCCUGAGCCAUUCUUCUCCUUUGUUUCUCCACGCGACCGGCAGUUGAUCCAACCUCCAAUCAAGAUGCUCCAGAUGAAUUCAGCCUGCACCAAGUACAACUGUUACCAGGUCCCUUGGACACAGAUCUGAUGUAUCUGGGUAUUAAUCUGCUGUUAAUGUUAAUGAACACUGCCUC